UUCUGACGCCAGGCCACCGAACGUGAAGAGGGGGCUCCCGGAUCGGGAGCCCCCUCUUCACGUCACCGUCAGGCGUCGAGC
rnacentral:pre_miRNA from 1 species